rnacentral:rRNA from 1 species
CAGUAGCCGCGGGAAUACGGAGGGUGCAAGCGUUAAUCGGAAUUACUGGGCGUAAAGGGUGCGUAGGCGGUUAGUUAAGUCUGUCGUGAAAUCCCCGGGCUCAACCUGGGAAUGGCAAUGGAUACUGGCUGGCUAGAGUGUGUCAGAGGAUAGUGGAAUUUCCGGUGUAGCAGUGAAAUGCGUAGAGAUAGGAAGGAACAUCUGUGGCGAAGGCGACUAUCUGGGCCAACACUGACACUGAGGCACGAAAGCGUGGGGAGCAAACAGGAUUAGAUACCCCAGUAGUCCCUGUCUCUUAUAA